rnacentral:ncRNA from 2 species
AGAUAAUAAAGGUUUUGGACUUAUAUAAAUUCAUAAUAGGUUGAAUGUUUCUACCAGCUGCCGUAACAGUUGACUAUAAGCCGCCCUGUCAGGGGA